GAUCCUGGCUCAGGAUGAACGCUAGCUACAGGCUUAACACAUGCAAGUCGAGGGGCAGCAUGAACUUAGCUUGCUAAGUUUGAUGGCGACCGGCGCACGGGUGAGUAACACGUAUCCAACCUGCCGAUGACGUCGGGGAUAGUCCUUUACGAAAGAAAGAUUAACUACCCGAUGGCAUAGUUCUUCCGCAUGGUAGAACUAUUAAAGUAAUUUCGGUCAUCGAGUGGGGAUGCGUUCCAGUUAGGUUGG
rnacentral:rRNA from 1 species